AUUGAACGCUGGCGGCAGGCUUAACACAUGCAAGUCGAGCGGGGGGAGGUAGCUUGCUACCUAACCUAGCGGCGGACGGGUGAGUAAUGCUUAGGAAUCUGCCUAUUAGUGGGGGACAACAUUUCGAAAGGGAUGCUAAUACCGCAUACGCCCUAAGGGGGAAAGCAGGGGAUCUUCGGACCUUGCGCUAAUAGAUGAGCCUAAGUCGGAUUAGCUAGUUGGUGGGGUAAAGGCCUACCAAGGCGACGAUCUGUAGCGGGUCUGAGAGGAUGAUCCGCCACACUGGGACUGAGACACGGCCCAGACUCCUACGGGAGGCAGCAGUGGGGAAUAUUGGACAAUGGGGGGAACCCUGAUCCAGCCAUGCCGCGUGUGUGAAGAAGGCCCUAUGGUUGUAAAGCACUUUAAGCGAGGAGGAGGCUACUCUAGUUAAUACCUAGGGAUAGUGGACGUUACUCGCAGAAUAAGCACCGGCUAACUCUGUGCCAGCAGCCGCAGUAAGAC
rnacentral:rRNA from 1 species